UGAAACCACGUGCAUAUGAGAUGGAUUGAGGAGGCUUAGUUUUUGUUGAGCAAAACCCAAACCAGCUCUGAUUUUCAGACAAUCAACAUUUUGGGACAAAAUGUCCCUGUUCUAGUGAGCAUAAUUUUGGCAAUCUAAAAAAUUCAUUGCCAAAACACUGAAAUCAAUGGUUUCACAUUAACAGCAGGAGGCAAAAUUUCUGGUGGCCUAGAUGGAAGAGGUGAAACUCCAUCCUGCAGCCUCUACAAGCAACCUUGGACCUCCUCUGAAUGGCACAGAUCACAACCUGCCAAGCGCCACAUCAGGAAAUAAAAUUUGGCCAGCUAAUUUUCUUAUUAGGGCUGGAUUUCCCUGUUGGACUUGCUGAGUCUCUACUGAUAGUCAACUGAGAAGACAACCAUACGUAAAGAUGCCAUUUAAGAUGCACCUCUUCUGCUUCCCAGCUAUUUGAGGAAGCUGCUGUUUUCUCUGUUAAUUGUUUUUAGCAUUUGAACUGCCUAAUCACACACAAGCCUAAAGGUCUGGAAGGAUUCAAAUGGAAAUUCCAGCCAUUUUAAUAUUUCUUGAAUUUCUUGUCAGCAGAAUAACGGCCCUGAAACUUUUCCUACCACAUUUGAAAUAAAAAUGGUAUUUAGUAGAAUUGCUGAGAAAUAAAGAAUUCCUUCAUUCUGCACU